rnacentral:rRNA from 1 species
GCUCCCUCUCCCCCUUCCCCCGAUCUAGAUCGAGGGCAGCGAACACCGACAACGACGCCGCCUCGCGCCCCGCCGCCGGCGCCCACCCCGACGCCGCCCCACCGCCGUCCUCCUCGCCUCCUCCCCCUCCCAAUCUGGGAGCCCCCACGCCGAGCCCGACCCGCCAAUCACCGUCGCUGGACCCCGCCGCUGCCGCCACCGGACUGCCUCGCCCCAUCGCCUCAUCUUCAUCUCCUCCCCGACGUCUUCAUCGCGCCUUGCCGGCCCCCUGUUCAUCUACAACGGGGACCCCGAGACUGCUGCUGAUGCCAUUGUGAUUUACUACGUCGACGACGACCCUCCUUCUUGUCUGAGCAACCAGAUGGUGGAUCCCUGGAGCCAAAUGCUAUCGCCGACGGAUGCUACUAUGUGAAGAUCACCGACGGUUAGGAGUAGUUAGGAGGUCCCAGACAGGAGGCCUUGCCUCUUCGACCGUUAUUGCUUUUGUGCUAGCCUUCUUAAGGCAUUCUUGUUUAACCUUAUGUCUGUACUCAGAUAUUGUUGCUUCCGCUGACUCUUGUGUAUCGAGCUUGUAUUCGAGCCCUCGAGGCCCCUGGCUUGUAAUAUAAA